UAAGACUAUCUUUUGUUUACUUUGAUGAUUUUCCUACUGUGAAGCUUUCCUUGUAUAAAGCUCAAUUUUUCCAUGACCACGGAAGUAAACAUCCUGAUGCAUUCUUGUCAUGUGAAUGUUGAGAGCGUGUUCAUUUUUGAAAUCUCCUUUCUGACAGACAUAUUCUACAGGUAAGUUUGUCUUAUUUUUGUUUACAUUUCCUAUAUGAAGGUCAUCUUUGUAUUUAACCAUGAUUAUGUAAAGUUCUGUUUUGAAUGUAAAUACUAUAUUUAUCCUCAUUUCAUGUGAUUUACAGUUGUUUAGCCUGCAUGUAACUCAGAGUGCAUUUAAUAAUUCUAUGAUGGGUCAUUCUAUGAUUGAAUUUCAAUCAGAAAAAUGUUCACUAAAUUUUGGUAAAAUACAUGGUAUCUUUUACAUUUCUAUCCCUUUUGUCUGUAAAUUACUUUGCUUUACUUACAUUGUUAAAUGAGGUUAAUUGUGUAUCACUGAAUUGUAUGAUUUUUUUCAGGAUCAGCUGAGAUGUAAUCAAUCACUGGAUUAUUUAAUGGAUAGGCUUAUUGGGCAUAUAUUUGGAUAUCUCUGUCAUCAACAUGGAAUGUAUGACUUCAUCUUUUAUACAGUCGGGUUCGGGGUUUCGGGCGGCCAUGACGAAUUUCGAGCAAGAUUUUACCCCAGUGAAAAAGGCUUGUAAUCCACAGUUCCUCAACCUGGAAGAUAUGUUUUGUUCCUAACCAUCUAUAAUCCAUUCUCUAUGAAGUGAAGCCUGGCUGCUCUUCCUUUGGAAAUACACAGUUAGUCAAUCAACAUAGAAACACACAAACUUGAAGG